rnacentral:rRNA from 1 species
CUGGAGGUAUCAGAAGUGCGAAUGCUGACAUAAGUAACGAUAAAGCGGGUGAAAAGCCCGCUCGCCGGAAGACCAAGGGUUCCUGUCCAACGUUAAUCGGGGCAGGGUGAGUCGACCCCUAAGGCGAGGCCGAAAGGCGUAGUCGAUGGGAAACGGGUUAAUAUUCCCGUACUUGGUGUUACUGCGAAGGGGGGACGGAGAAGGCUAUGUUGGCCGGGCGACGGUUGUCCCGGUUUAAGCGUGUAGGUGUGUGUUCCAGGUAAAUCCGGUUCACUUUAACACUGAGGCGUGAUGACGAGGCACUACGGUGCUGAAGCAACAAAUGCCCUGCUUCCAGGAAAAGCCUCUAAGCAUCAGGUAACAUCAAAUCGUACCCCAAACCGACACAGGUGGUCAGGUAGAGAAUACCAAGGCGCUUGAGAGAACUCGGGUGAAGGAACUAGGCAAAAUGGUGCCGUAACUUCGGGAGAAGGCACGCUGACACGUAGGUGAAGUGAUUUACUCAUGGAGCUGAAGUCAGUCGAA